rnacentral:rRNA from 1 species
UACGUAGGGGGCAAGCGUUGUCCGGAAUCAUUGGGCGUAAAGCGCGUGUAGGCGGCUUGGUAAGUCUGCUCUGAAAGCCCGGGGGCUCAACCCCGGGAGGCGGGUGGAUACUGUCAAGCUCGAGUCCGGAAGAGGAGUGUGGAAUUCCUGGUGUAGCGGUGAAAUGCGCAGAUAUCAGGAAGAACACCAAUGGCGAAGGCAGCUCUCUGGGACGGUACUGACGCUGAGACGCGAAAGCGUGGGGAGCGAACAGG